rnacentral:rRNA from 1 species
GACGAACGCUGGCGGCGUGCCUAAUACAUGCAAGUCGAACGAGAGCGACCGGUGCUUGCACUGGUCAAUCUAGUGGCGAACGGGUGAGUAACACGUGGGUAACCUGCCCAUCAGAGGGGGAUAACAUCCGGAAACGGAUGCUAAAACCGCAUAGGUCUUCGAGCCGCAUGGCUUGAAGAGGAAAAGAGGCGCAAGCUUCUGCUGAUGGAUGGACCCGCGGUGCAUUAGCUAGUUGGUGAGGUAACGGCUCACCAAGGCCGUGAUGCAUAGCCGACCUGAGAGGGUGAUCGGCCACAUUGGGACUGAGACACGGCCCAAACUCCUACGGGAGGCAGCAGUAGGGAAUCUUCCGCAAUGGACGCAAGUCUGACGGAGCAACGCCGCGUGAGUGAAGAAGGUUUUCGGAUCGUAAAACUCUGUUGUUAGAGAAGAACAAGUGCUAGAGUAACUG